rnacentral:rRNA from 1 species
GAUGAACGCUGGCGGCGUGCCUAAUACAUGCAAGUCGAGCGAACAGACGAGGAGCUUGCUCCUCUGACGUUAGCGGCGGACGGGUGAGUAACACGUGGAUAACCUACCUAUAAGACUGGGAUAACUUCGGGAAACCGGAGCUAAUACCGGAUAAUAUAUUGAACCGCAUGGUUCAAUAGUGAAAGACGGUUUUGCUGUCACUUAUAGAUGGAUCCGCGCCGCAUUAGCUAGUUGGUAAGGUAACGGCUUACCAAGGCAACGAUGCGUAGCCGACCUGAGAGGGUGAUCGGCCACACUGGAACUGAGACACGGUCCAGACUCCUACGGGAGGCAGCAGUAGGGAAUCUUCCGCAAUGGGCGAAAGCCUGACGGAGCAACGCCGCGUGAGGGAUGAAGGUCUUCGGAUCGUAAAACUCUGUUAUUAGGGAAGAACAAAUGUGUAAGUAACUAUGCACGUAUUGACGGUACCUAAUCAGAAAGCCACGGCCAACUACGUGC